rnacentral:tRNA from 1 species
UUAACUGAAACCAAAAAGAGGUAUAUUACUGUUAAUAAUAUUAUUGAAAUUAUUCCAGUUAUA